CAACAGGACUGGGAUAUCUACAUAACUGUACAGCCUCCACCACUCUGGCAUCUGUCCUCCAACCCACUAUUUGCAACCAUCGCGAUGCCCCGGCCAGCUACCGUCUCCUUUCGCCUCUCCAGUCCAACACACCAACCUACACAACUAUGCAACCUCCCCAGCAAAUGGAGUCUGCAGUCAAUGCCUUCAAUAAUGAAGAUUCAAGAGAGUCUGUGAGGCAAUUCCAGAGAGUCUAUUAAAAG